GUUUAACUGUAUACUUUUCUCUUGAAUAAGUUUAUGUUAAAACAUUGUGUACUUGUAUGUAAAUGUUUGGUUGUGGGCUUUUAUUGAUUAUGUUCAUGUUAAUAGAUUGUGUACUUAUAAAUCUUUCGGAUGAGGCGUUAAACUGAGGUCCUGAUUCUCUGUGGUCAUUAAAAAUCCCAGGAGACGUAUUGUAAAAGAGUAGGGGUAUAACCCCGGUGUCCUGGUGAAAUUCCCCCAUUGGCCGUUCUCUAUCAUGGCCCCAUAAUAAUCUCCAUCCCUGAAUUGGCUACAUCAUUCUUGAGGAGUUGCGGAGAAACCCCCCGCCACCCCCCGUAUAUGUAAAGAUCUUUGAGCGUAUAGAAAGGCGCUAUAUAAAUGAGUUCACCAUGAGCUUGUUUACUACUGCUGGGCUGCAGAUCUGAC
ensembl:lncRNA